UCGCGACGAAUCACCUUUCAUAGCGAAGAAUGCACAAUUGCUUUUUUAGUUGUGUUUUAUCAUUAUAACCAGUUUAGUGAAAGUGUUAACGUUAGUGUUGCGUCGUCUUUAGAUGAGGCGUCCAGCUGAAAUAAUACUUCUCGCAAAUUUCACUUUUGGAUUUAAAAAUGAAAAGCGAAGGUCUCAACUUUCUGUUAAUAUCCACAUUACAUGUCUUAAAACUUUCCUAAGGUUAUUAGCCAUAUAACGUUAACAAGGUUGCUAGACAGGUAGACAGCUAACGUUAACGUUUAACACGAUCAGAACGGAGGCUAAGGCUUUAUUUAAGACGAAUCGGUUACAACUUAAAACUGCCCAAGAUAGCUAAAAUGUCUCACAUUUUGAAAGGUCAUUGAAGAAAAAGUUCGAGUAUAGAGGAGGCAGUGGGAAGCGGUUCUGAUACGGGAAGGCUUUUCUCUCUGCAAGUUCUCCGCAGUAAUCACUUCAGACAGGAGGACUUCGACAGGACGGAACUUGAUGUGCGGUUUGGAAUUGGAGAUAUCGUCAGCUUUCCCAACUCAUCUACAAAAACAGACUUCUGCUGAAGGCCAGGCCCAGUCAAGGCUUGGCUAAGGUGGGCCUUCGGGGGGGAGAAAUGCCAAGGAUAGAGGGAGGAGGUAGAAAAAUGGGCAUGCAGAAUCUUCUGGAGGAUCUGAAGGUAUUGCAGGUAAACUGCAUGUCCUGAGCCGCAGAUGCCGACGAAUGACUUGCUGAGUCAUCACCACGUGUCGAGGAUGUUGUACAGGUUCCUACAGGAGAGCGAAGAAUGCAGGUCACAUCUGGAAACCUGCUUUUGGGAGAAAUGCAGCAUAUCGCUUUAAAAAAAUGCGACAUCUGAUAUGUCUUAUGUUAUUCAUGGCUGAAAGGUGGGCAUGUUACACAUUUGAUCUAAAGCUGAACAAUUUUAAAACCUUGUAAAUCCUGCCUGUGCUAAAGGAUCAUACUAUACACAUCUCCUCCAAAACAUUACAUAUCUUUUUACUUUUGAAAAACAUCAUUUUAAAAGCAAAACACUAUCAGUGGUAGCCCAGCAAAUGCAUUUAAAAAUUCUAACAUUUACCUUUAUUCAAGACAUUUAUGUCCAAUGUGCAAUUAAGCAUGCAAUUCAGAAGGACAAUAAUGUCUCAAACAUGCCCGCCAGAACUUUCAAUACGGUCAACAAAAAAAAAAAAUGCAGUUGAAAUGACAAUAGUGCAUUCCCCGGUUAGCACUGCUACCCCCUCCCACACCCC